rnacentral:rRNA from 1 species
UGAGAGUGGUAGGAGGUGAGGGGGGGAAUACGGUGGGGGCGGGUGUUGUUCGGAAUCAGUGGGCGGGAGGGGCGGGUAGGUGGUCGUGGAGGGCCGCGGGGAAAGUCGGGGGCGCAACCGUGGGAUGGCGGUGGGUACUGGCGGGCUCGAGUACGGAAGAGGCGAGGGGAAUGCCUGGUGUAGCGGUGAAAUGCGCAGAUAUCAGGAGGAACACCGAUUGCGAAGGCAGCUCGCUGGGACGUUACUGACGCUGAGACGCGAAAGCGUGGGGAGCAAACAGGAUUAGAUACCCCUGUAGUC